rnacentral:pre_miRNA from 1 species
AAAGUACUCCCUCCAUCCCAAAAUUCUUGUCUUAGAUUUGUCUAGAUACGAAUGUAUCAAGUCACAUUUUAGUAUUAGAUACAUCUGUAUCUAGACAAAUCUAAGACAAGAAAUUUGGGACGGAGGGAGUAGUUG